rnacentral:rRNA from 1 species
CCUACGGGGGGCAGCAGUGGGGAAUAUUGCACAAUGGGCGCAAGCCUGAUGCAGCCAUGCCGCGUGUAUGAAGAAGGCCUUCGGGUUGUAAAGUACUUUCAGCGAGGAGGAAGGCAUUGUGGUUAAUAACCGCAGUGAUUGACGUUACUCGCAGAAGAAGCACCGGCUAACUCCGUGCCAGCAGCCGCGGUAAUACGGAGGGUGCAAGCGUUAAUCGGAAUUACUGGGCGUAAAGCGCACGCAGGCGGUCUGUCAAGUCGGAUGUGAAAUCCCCGGGCUCAACCUGGGAACUGCAUUCGAAACUGGCAGGCUAGAGUCUUGUAGAGGGGGGUAGAAUUCCAGGUGUAGCGGUGAAAUGCGUAGAGAUCUGGAGGAAUACCGGUGGCGAAGGCGGCCCCCUGGACAACGACUGACGCUCAGGUGCGAAAGCGUGGGGAGCAAACAGGAUUAGAUACCCCGGUAGUC